rnacentral:rRNA from 1 species
GACGAACGUUGGCGGCGUGCUUAAUACAUGCAAGUCAACUGAAGCAGUGGUAGCAAUAUCGCUGUGGAGGUGGCGCACGGGUGAGUAACACGUAGGUAAUCUGCCUUCAGGUCUGGCAUAACUCCGGGAAACCGGGGCUAAUAGCAGAUGAUGCAGCGGCUCGACAUCGAGACAGUUGUUAAAGCUAUGGCGCCUGAAGAUGAGCCUGCGUCUGAUUAGCUAGUUGGCGGGGUAACGGCCCACCAAGGCAACGAUCAGUAGCUGGUCUGAGAGGAUGAUCAGCCACACUGGAACUGAGACACGGUCCAGACUCCUACGGGAGGUAGCAGUAAGGAAGAUUGCUCAAUGGGAGAAAUCCUGAAGCAGCAACGCCGCGUGAGGGACGAAGGGCUUUUGCUUGUAAACCUCUGUAGUGAGAGAAAAAAAUCCCAAUCUUUGGGACAUGAUGGUAUCUCAAAAGUAAGCCCCGGCUAACUACGUG